AUUGAACGCUGGCGGCAUGCCUUACACAUGCAAGUCGAACGGCAGCACGGGUGCUUGCACCUGGUGGCGAGUGGCGAACGGGUGAGUAAUAUAUCGGAACGUACCUUAUUGUGGGGGAUAACGCAGCGAAAGCUGUGCUAAUACCGCAUAAUCCCUAAGGGGGAAAGCGGGGGACCGUAAGGCCUCGCGCAAUUAGAGCGGCCGAUACCUGAUUAGCUAGUUGGUGAGGUAAAGGCUAACCAAGGCAACGAUCAGUAGGUGGUCUGAGAGGGCGAUCAGCCACACUGGGACUGAGACAGGGGCCAGACUCCUACGGGAGGCAGCAGUGGGGAAUGUUGGACAAUGGGGGGAACCCUGAUCCAGCAAUGCCGCGUGAGUGAAGAAGGCCUUCGGGUUGUAAAGCUCUUUUGUCAGGGAAGAAACAGCAGCUCUAACACAGUUUGCGAAUGACGGUACCUGAAGAAUAAGCACCGGCUAACUACGUGCCAGCCGCCGCUGUAA
rnacentral:rRNA from 1 species